GCGGGAGUAGCUCAGUUGGUUAGAGCGCUGCCCUGUCACGGCAGAGGUCGCGGGUUCGAGUCCCGUCUCUCGCGCCA
rnacentral:tRNA from 16 species